AGCCAAGAACCAAGUGACGUUCCAGGGAAAAAUUCAAUACAAAUUGGGUAAUUCAUUCAUUUCUAACAGUGUUAGAUCAAGGAGGUGGUUUUAAAACAGAAAAUUUGGCUUUGUAUUUAAAAAAAAAAAAAAAAAAAAGACGUCCUUGGAAAAUUUGACUACUAACUUUAAACCCAAAUGUCCUUGUUCAUAUAUAUGUAUAUGUACUUGUAUAUACAUAUAUGUGUGUAUAUUAUAUCAUUUCUCUUGGGAUUUUGGGUCAUUUUUAACAACUGCAUCUUUUUUACUCAUUCAUUAACCCUUUUCCAAAAUAAACAUUUGAUGUUGGGAAUAUGGUAUUGCCAAUCAAUCCAAAAUCCUAGACCUAACACUUGUUGAUUUUUAAUACAGAAUCUGGUUAGCCAUGGUAUUUUGACUGACUUUCAGACUAACAGUGUUAAGAUAUUUGUAUAUUUUUUGUUUGCAUGUUAAUGCUGUAGUGUUUACUGGGAGCUGUGAACGUGAUCUAAUUGUAAGAGGCGAGUCCUGGCGCUGCCUUCAGCAUGUCUUCUGAAGUCACGAAUUCUCUCUGCCAGUGAACUAUGACAGAUCGUAAUUUCAUGAUGAUCCUUCAGGAGUGCUUUAUUUAAAUGCUAAGGAACUUAGGCACUAGAGUUCACUUACUGUGGAAUUGAAGUCUGUACUUAGAACUUGUCAGUUGAAGAUAACUGAGGCAAGUGCUGAUAAACUGCUAGUCUGUCUGUCUCUGUCUCUUUCUGGCACUUUGAGUGCUUCUAAGGAGUAGAACUGUUAGAGCACAACACCUUUCUCUGUUCCUGGUGCCUUAGAGUUCAACUCCUGCUUCCGUGUCACUGUCGCCUUUCCUGGGGCUUACUGCCACUACCUGCCUGCUUUGUGCAAGUGGUGGGCAGGUAAGCUUUGCUGUUUGCUUUUUAAAUUUUUAUUUCUGAAAGACUGCUCUAGUCUGAAUGUGGUUUUCAGAUAUUAGUAUUCUAUAUUUUUAGUGUUGAUUUAAAUAAUUCUUAAACUUAAAAAUAGAUUCUAGGCCAGGUGGGGUGGCGAAUGCCUUUAAUCCCAGCAUUUGGGGGGGCAAAGGCAAACAGAUCUCUGUGGGUUCCAGGUCUGCCUGGUCUUACAGAGUGAAUUCCAGGACAGCCAGGGCUUUUUUAAGAAAGAAAGAAAGAAAAGCUUCUAGUAUCUGAGGCACAUUUGAAGCAAUGGAAUGAACUGAUGUCAUCCUCAUCCCAGCAGCUCAGUAAAGUUGGGGGCUUCCUUUCUGUGCUUCUGUAUUUGGGAAAGAGGGAUUUUAGAUGAUGAGGCCUGAGCUAAAGAGCAUAGUGGAUGCUCAGGCUGUUCAGUCUCUGUACCUCAGUUGGGACUUUGAUGCCUCAUUUGUUUCUUAAUAUUGUGUAAAUAGUCUUGUGUGGAAGUAGGGAUCAGGUAUUUGUGAGAAGUGGUUUUAUUGUUGAGACGAAGGCAAAUAGAGCCUCUUAACUAAGAUAUUAAAUAACACCUAUAAUAUAUUUGCUUUGGUCAUGAAAUGAAGCCCUUUUUUUUCUGUUUGCCUAAAGCUCGUUGGGAUAAUAGGAUUCAUCACAAAUUGCAGCUGCUAAAACUAAGAUUGAAAUCUCAUCUGGCCUAGAACAUUUUUCUUCAGGCAUUCAGCAGCCUUCAGAAAGAAUUAUCUUAAUUUUGACCUAAUUUCAUUGUUCUAAUAUACUAUGUGUUUCUUACUCAAUAAACAAGCAGAAUUUUUGUCCUGCUUUGUCUAGGUAUUAAAGAUGAGAAGUUGGAUCCACUGAGUUAGUAUGUUUCCUUGAAAAAAAAAGUGAUUAAACUUAAGUUUAAGCCUUCUUCUGUAUCGUAACUUUUUCAUAAAAGUAACUUAAAAUCGUAAAACAGUUGAAAAUAUCUUUAGACACAGUGGUCGUGCAAAUUAUUACAUGUACAUGAACUUGUAAAAUAGGGAUUUUUCAAUAAAUAAUAACAUUGACUGCUUUUAAAGGUACAUUUCUAAGGCCAGGUUCAGUGACAUGAGUACUUACAGUCUUAGUUACUGGGAGGCUAGGACAAGAGGAUCGCUUGAGCUCAGGAGUUAAUGGCCAGCUUUGGCAAUAGGAAGAGUUCCUUCUUAGAGGGUGGGUGGGUAGAAUGGGUUACCAAGAGGUUUUUUUUUUUUUUUUUUUAACCUUUAGCAAAAUACUGCUUGCUACUCAAAUAAACCAGUCUGGGGCAGGAAAGGUAGCUAGGUUGGUAAAUGCUUGCUUUGUGAGAAUAGGACCUGAGUUCAAUCCCUAGAACCUCUGUUUAAAAAGCGAGCAAGGGCCAGGCAUGGUGUGGCACACGCCCUGAUUCCCAGCACUUAGACAUAGAAGCAAGCAGAUUUCUGUGAGUUUGAGGCCAACCUCAACAUAGUGAGACUGAAACCGUGUCUCAACAACAGUGCUAGCAAGCUGUAAUGUUUGCUUGUAAGCCCAGCCCUAGCUAGCAGCGUGGAGAUAGGCAAAACCUUGGGACUUCCUGGCCAGCCGGAUUAAGCCUAAUCAGUGCACUCCAUGUCCCAGAGGAAGACCCCAGCUCCAAAAGGCAAAGACAUCAGAGGAACAACCAACAAGAUUAACUCCUGACCACCACACACACACAGAUGCCCAAUAAGCUAUGCCACUAUACAAAAUACAGACAGGAAGGUGGACUUAGACUUCUUACACAUCUGUGAAAUUAGUGUCCAUAACAGAAAGCUCAGAAAAUACAUCUACCUAAGGGUGGCAUGAAAUAAGCAUGAGGGAGUUAGUCUUAGACCCUCUGCCUCUCACAAUAUGUAGGUUGUUAGUGAUUUCAAACUCUAAGUAAUAGAGUGUAUAAAACCAUAGACUUAGUUUCUGCUAUUACAGCUUUUGAUUUCAUGGAAUCUUCCCAUAAUGGUAACACCAUGUUAUUUCUCUCUGCUCAAAAAUUAUAGAAAGUGGCUGGGGGUGGUGGCACAUGCUUUUAAUCACAGCACGUAGGAGGCAGGAGGGUGUAUCUCUAUUAGGUUGCGGACUGCCAGGGCUUUAUAGUGACCCUCAAAAUGUAGAAGAUACUCAGAGUAUACAUUAUAACUUUUUUUUUUCCUUUCGGUCAUAAUCUCAGAUGCUUGCAUGUCAAUGAAUUCAGUUUCAUAAAUCUUCAGCAAGCAGGCCUCCAUCAUAAAGGUUCUCUUCUGGAAAGAUCCUCUAAAUGUUUACUGGUAUAUUUUUUAUAGUUUUGGGUUUUGUGGGAGUUUCUGUUUUGGUUUAGUUUUUUGUUUCUUGGCAGUUGCUUUAAGCGUAUGUUUCUUUCAUAGAAAUUACAGAAAGUUCUAGCCCCUCCCUGAGAGUGUUCAAGUGUUCUUCCAAACCUUGCUUAUUUAGCUAGUAUGUGCUUCUCCUGUAGUAGGUGGAUCUCUGGUCUGAUAAAUUUGCAUUUAGGCCUUUCAGUCACUGCUUUGCAAAGCUUGCAAAGCCAAUCGAGACCAAGAGACAAGGAUUUUCCCUAAUGUCGCUUAGAUUUUGUUUCCAAUGCUGAAGUGCCCCAAGAUUGAACUUUUUGCUUCUAUUUGUGUAGCAGAGAGAAGAUAAAAGCUUCUCGCUCUGAACCCUUGACAAUCCAUUUUGCUUGGUAUUCUACAACUUUAUGUGAUUCUCAGAAAAAUACUUGUUUAUGACCUAGAAAGGGCAAAGAAAAAGGAAAUAGUUUAUGGAUAUUUAGAUUCCGUUAAUUCUGCUGUACCCACAAGUAGCUGAGACCGUAGAAUGACAAGUCUGAAGGUGGCCUUGGCCUUCAGAGACUUGAAGUGUUUUCCAUCACAUUAACCAGCCUGUGUCAGUGGUCCCCAGCAGCUACAGGGCUUUGCCAUGUGUAGCUUAACCUCUUCUGACAUCACCAACUGCUGCCAGGACCACAGCUGAUAAUUCAGCAACUUAACCCAAAACAGGGAAGGGAAGACCUUGCGAUACCUGGAGAGACUGACCUACCUUGAAUACACUCUGUCCAGAGAAGACCAGGGAACUGAAUCUUCGCUGAAAUCUGGGAUUUCCAUCGGCUUUUUUCAUUGUGGACAGUAAAGCUGGAGAGAUUGACAAUCCAAGAAAUGAAGAUGACAGUGCAAGAGACCUCUCAAGGCUUGCUGGGCCUGCUAACCUUCUGCUCAGGUUCUGUGAUGACUGUCAGAAGGCCUGGAAUACUGCCAGUGUUGCUGAGCCUCAGCGCUACGUAAUGGCCGCCAUCUGCCAGUUGGGAUGGAUUCCUUUGUAACAGGAACAGAAGAGGUUCGUCCCUCGUUUUAACGGGUGAACUAGAAGAGCCACCCAGACUGCAGGAUUUUCAAACCAAACCAAAGACUAAAGCACACUGCAGAAGAGUCCUUCGGAGUGAUGAGAGAGUGAAUGUUGGCGACCUACCACAGUGUUUCUCCUUCUGGAGUACCUCAGAGAACAGCUCAUUGGAGGAUUAGAUACCAUUGCUCUGUCUAGCUGAAGAACUAAAUCUGGAUUGGACUGCUUUAUUCUACCAGGAAUAUUGUUAGGCUCAUCUUCAACCAAUCCCUAGACAAUUGUAACCAGAGACUGACCGUCCACAAUGAGAGACUUCUGACCUAGAACUUCCCUGUUAUUAAAGAAAUCAAGUUGUCUUGUA